UACGGGGGGAGCAAGCGUUGUUCGGAUUUACUGGGCGUAAAGGGCGCGUAGGCGGCCAGCACAAGUCAGUUGUGAAAUCUCCGAGCUUAACUCGGAACGGUCAACUGAUACUGUGCGGCUAGAGUGCGGAAGGGGCAACUGGAAUUCUUGGUGUAGCGGUGAAAUGCGUAGAUAUCAAGAGGAACACCAGUGGCGAAAGCGGCCACCUGGACUGCACCUGACGCUGAAACGCGAAAGCUAGGGGAGCGAACGGG
rnacentral:rRNA from 1 species